GAAACCGAGGGUAAUACCGCAUGAGUCCUCAAUGACAUAAGUCGAUGAGGGGAAAGGCGGGGCUCCUUCGGGACCUGUCGCCUCUGGAUGAGCCCGCGUCCGAUUAGCUAGUUGGUGGGGUAAUGGCCUACCAAGGCAACGAUCGGUAGCCGGCCUGAGAGGGUGAACGGCCACAUUGGGACUGAGACACGGCCCAGACUCCUACGGGAGGCAGCAGUGGGGAAUUUUGGGCAAUGGGGGAAACCCUGACCCAGCGACGCCGCGUGGAGGAUGACGGCCUUCGGGUUGUAAACUCCUGUCAGGUGGGAAGAAAAGCCAGUCGGAUAAUACCCGGCAGGAAUUGACGGUACCACCAAAGGAAGCCCCGGCUAACUCCGUGCCAGCAGCCGCGGUAAUACGGAGGGGGCAAGCGUUAUUCGGAUUUACUGGGCGUAAAGCGCACGUAGGUGGCAUGGUAAGUCAAAGGUGAAAGCCCUCGGCUCACCGAGNAAUUGCCUUUNAAACUGCCCUGCUUGAUUCCGG
rnacentral:rRNA from 1 species